rnacentral:rRNA from 1 species
GACGAACGCUGGCGGCGUGCCUAAUACAUGCAAGUUGAGCGCUGAAGGUUGGUACUUGUACCAACUGGAUGAGCAGCAAACGGGUGAGUAACGCGUGGGGAAUCUGCCUUUGAGCGGGGGACAACAUGUGGAAACGAAUGCUAAUACCGCAUAAAAACUUUAAACACAAGUUUUAAGGUUGAAAGAUGCAAUUGCAUCACUCAAAGAUGAUCCCGCGUUGUAUUAGCUAGGUGGUGAGGUAAAGGCUCACCAAGGCGAUGAUACAUAGCCGAACUGAGAGGGUGAUCGGCCACAUUGGGACUGAGACACGGCACAAACUCAUACGGGAGGCAGCAGUAGGGAAUCUUCGGCAAUGGACGAAAGUCUGACCGAGCAACGCCGAGUGAGUGAAGAAGGUUUUCGGAUCGUAAAACUCUGUUGGUAGAGAAGAAAGUUGGUGAGAGUGGAAAGCUCAUCAAGUGACGGUAACUACUCAGAAAGGGACGGCUAACUACGUG